AUCUACGGCCAUGCCACCCUGAACAUACCUGAUCCCGUCUGAUCUCGAAAGCUAAGCAGGGUUGGUUAGUACUUGGAUAGGAGACCACCUAGGAAGACCAGGUACUGUAGGCG
rnacentral:rRNA from 1 species